CCAGAUGGCAUCCCAUCAUCCGCAGCAUCUCUCAACCUUUAUCUCCUAUCUCCUGCCUCAUCUCCUUCCUAAGUAAAGAACACCUUCCAACUCAACAUAAGGCAGCUACAGGUUGGAGUGCAAUGGCGCAAUCUUGGCUCACGACAACCUCCGCCUCCCGGGUAUAAGUGAUUCUCCUGCCUCGGCCUCCCGAGUAGCUGAGAUUACAGCCUUAAACCGAUUAAAUGAAGUCUUGACAGCCAGCAGCCUGCAUCCACUACAGAAAAAACGACACCUUGAAUCACACCUUCACUUGAAUUCAGUUGAGUUCCAGUGACUACCACCUCUGUGCUUUGUCAACUUUGGGUUGAGUCCUUUCCUGAAAACACAUCAGUGUAACUAAGAAGUCACUGCUGUUUCUUGGAGUUGGGUUGGAAUAGUUGGAGUGGGAGCCAGGAUGGUUGGAAAACAAACCACACAUAUUGCUGCUUCUGGAAGCUUUGUUCUUUAAUGAGCCAUGGGGUGAUUUGUUCAUCAAGCUGCUUUUGUGUAGCCAUACAGUGCAUAUUUUGAGUGACACAAACUGCACUUUAUACAGAUGGUAUCUUGUUACCCCUCAACCCCCCAGCAAAGAAAAAAAAACAAAAAGGA
rnacentral:lncRNA from 10 species